GACGAACGCUGGCGGCGUGCUUAACACAUGCAAGUCGAACGAUGAAGCUGGGGCUUGCUCUGGCGGAUUAGUGGCGAACGGGUGAGUAACACGUGAGAAAUCUGCCCUUGACUCUGGGAUAACUGCGGGAAACUGUAGCUAAUACCGGAUACUUUCCCUGGUGGGCAUCCACUGGGGAAGAAAGAAUUUCGGUCAAGGAUGAUCUCGCGGCCUAUCAGCUUGUUGGUGAGGUAAUGGCUCACCAAGGCGACGACGGGUAGCCGGCCUGAGAGGGUGACCGGCCACACUGGGACUGAGACACGUCCCAGACUCCUACGGGAGGCAGCAGUGGGGAAUAUUGCACAAUGGGCGCAAGCCUGAUGCAGCAACGCCGCGUGAGGGAUGAAGGCCUUCGGGUUGUAAACCUCUUUUAGCAGGGAAGAAGCGAAAGUGACGGUACCUGCAGAAAAAGCACCGGCUAACUACGUGCCAGCCGCCGCAGUAA
rnacentral:rRNA from 1 species